CAAAUUAAAAUUAAACGCAAAUUUAUUUUAGAAUUUGACAAUUCUUUCGCUAAAAAUACUAAUUGACAACAUCCUUAUAAAUUAUGCUAUUAUUUUUGUGAAUAGUUUAUUAAAAAUUACUAAUUUUAAAAAAUUUCACUUAAAUAAUUGCAAAUUCGUCGUACACAACUGUGCAGUAUAAAUAUUCGCAAGUCGCCAUUCAAAACAGCUGCAAUAACAGAAGCGAAUGCGAGAGGAAUAGCGCAACGCAUUGCUAAUAGAACAAAACACACGGCAGAGAACAUACGAAGAUAAGCGAUUGGACGAAACGACGACAUAGCAACGUGCAAAGAGGAAAAAACAAAACCGAAUGUCUUUACAAAGCAAUGCAAAAUAAUCAUUGUAAUAGUUGAUUUUCAACUUACAAAAUUUCAUGCAAUCAACGACGCAUAAUGACCACGCUAAAGAACCAAUAAUAGUUCUUAACAAAACACUUUGGUUAUGCACACACAAAACAAACAAUAGGAAAUUAUGCAAAACAUGGGAAAGCACAAAACACCAGCGCCAGCAUUCAGGAGGCACUAUAUGAAAAAAUUACGAAAUAAUCAGCAGGCGCUGCUUUCAGAGCGACAAACAAAAUUUGUAGAUUUCAUGAUUUGCGCCGAUCUUUUCCAGCAUUUGCCAAACAAAUUAACAACACAAACAAUUUUGGGCACUACCAGUAGUGAGGAACACCAUUGAGGCGUAAUAAACACGAUGACUUGGUUUGGUUGAUUGGCUGCCUCGGCAGCGCAGCACCCAAUGCAGCAUAGAACAGCGUGUGCUUGGCGAUUAACACAUUUUCGCAGCACAUACAUGUAUAUAUAACUAGCGUGACAAGCAAACAACACUACUACUCACCAUUUUUGUUAAUAUGCGAUUUCGACGGACACGUUAAAAUGCACAAAAACUUUUAUAAUACAAUUUUCUUUCACACAACACGAUCCGGAAAUUAUAUUCGUAAACGAGGCAACGUAUAAUUCACACACUUCGCACGCUUUUUUUCUCUUCCGUACCUGCCGAGAUUCCGAAAUCAACUGAGCCACAGAGUUGCCGUGCAGUGCAAGUGCGUUUGACCACGUGUUGCCACUCUGUGCAAUAAUGUGUACUACAUGUGUUGAUGAUUGGUGUGCGACUUGACUAAGUUUGUGAUUAAAUUUGAAUUAAAUUCUUUUGAGAAAUCUUUUUUAACACAAUUAAAUAAUAGCGUUCUUUAUUUAAGCAUUGUAUACUUUUAGUUGCAUGUAUUUUUUUCAAAUUGUUUCAUUAUUUUAACCACAUUUAAAUUAUUUUUUUGCUUGCACUCACAUGUUGCUCACGCGCAAUACAAUCCACUUUGUGGUACACAUGCUUUUUAUUUGUUAUUCACAUUCCACACACUUUCUUCCGCCAGGAAAAGGAAAAGCGCGCGUUUCUUCAGCUAUUCAAAAGCUUUGCAAAUUAUAAAGUUCAGUGUUCAGUGUAAAUAAGAGUAUUUGUAAAGCUUGACCUUCACCACUGUAUCGUGUAUUUGACUUGAAGAAAGCUAAUUUAAUUGCACAACCACCUGCGGCAGCUACUUCCGCUUAGUUCCGGUUACUACUGGCACAAAUGAUCUCGAAAAACAGCUGAUUUUAUGAACUAAUAUUUCUAAGCGUACUCCUUCCGUGUUUUAUGCGUGUUUCUAAUCUCAUUUCUGCCGGUGUUCUGUAUUUAUAAGAAUUAUGCUGCUUAUUGCGACUUAUACGUUCCAACACACAUUCAAAACUAAAUCACAACCCACACUGCAGCAGCGGUGUAACCCCAGAAAGUAAAACAGUCGAAGUAGCCACACAAUUUGUUGUAUUCUUUAUUUUUUCUGAUUUAUUCUGCACAGAUGUCAACAUUAAGCACAUGUAAUUGUGUGAUUUUUGUUUUGCUAUUGUACAUUUACAUAUACAUUUAAUUUUUGUAUAUUUUACACUUUUCACAACACAAAAACAUUUUAUCUCAUUAAAAUGCAUCACUAUGAAGUACAGCAAAAUGCGAGCAAGAACUUGCAUGUUUCGUUUUGUUUUGCUCUGAUUUUUCUACAUACAUACACUGCUGAAGCUCGUUAAAUGCUUUUUAACUGCUGUUUAAAUACACAACUAUUAUACAUACAUAUGUUUAUUAAUUAUGUGGGCAAGUUAUGCAUACAAAUUCAAUUAUAUAAUUAAUCAAUACACAUGUACACAAAUUGUUAUAAUUCUUUAAAUAUUAUGUACGUACGUUAGUAAUAAUUAAAGGAACUCAAGCUGAAAAAAAUUAUUAAGAACAAAUUAGUUGUACUGCAUUCACUAAACUUUGACAAGUUACAUGACUUAAAUUAUUAUUAAUAAUAGCUAUUUGUUCUCGUUUUCAUACAUACAUACAUUUACAAAUAUGUAAGCUGCUAUGUGGUAAAUUACUAAAUUUCUUGUAUAACAUUAAUAAUUGUUUAAAAGUAAUUUCAUUAUUUUUGUAAAUGAUUAUGUGUAAUGCUAAAAUAAUUAGCUUUUGUAUACGCACAACUACACAAAUACACCGCUACACA